GACGAACGCUGGCGGCGUGCCUAAUACAUGCAAGUAGAACGCUGAAGGAGGAGCUUGCUUCUCCGGAUGAGUUGCGAACGGGUGAGUAACGCGUAGGUAACCUGCCUGGUAGCGGGGGAUAACUAUUGGAAACGAUAGCUAAUACCGCAUAAUAGCAGUUAUUGCAUGAUAACUGUUUGAAAGGUGCAAUUGCACCACUACCAGAUGGACCUGCGUUGUAUUAGCUAGUUGGUGGGGUAACGGCUCACCAAGGCGACGAUACAUAGCCGACCUGAGAGGGUGAUCGGCCACACUGGGACUGAGACACGGCCCAGACUCCUACGGGAGGCAGCAGUAGGGAAUCUUCGGCAAUGGACGGAAGUCUGACCGAGCAACGCCGCGUGAGUGAAGAAGGUUUUCGGAUCGUAAAGCUCUGUUGUAAGAGAAGAACGAGUGUGAGAGUGGAAAGUUCGCACU
rnacentral:rRNA from 1 species